rnacentral:tRNA from 1 species
GCGCGAGUGGUGAAAUUGGCAGACACGCUAGAUUUAGGCUCUAGUGCUUUACGGCGUAAGGGUUCAAGUCCCUUCCCGCGCA